rnacentral:rRNA from 1 species
GAUGAACGCUGGCGGCGUGCUUAACACAUGCAAGUCGAACGGAAAGGCCAGUGCUUGCUCUGGUACUCGAGUGGCGAACGGGUGAGUAACACGUGGGUGAUCUGCCCUGCACUUCGGGAUAAGCCUGGGAAACUGGGUCUAAUACCGGAUAGGACAAUGGUUUGGAUGCCGUUGUGGAAAGUUUUUUCGGUGUGGGAUGAGCUCGCGGCCUAUCAGCUUGUUGGUGGGGUAAUGGCCUACCAAGGCGUCGACGGGUAGCCGGCCUGAGAGGGUGUACGGCCACAUUGGGACUGAGAUACGGCCCAGACUCCUACGGGAGGCAGCAGUGGGGAAUAUUGCACAAUGUGCGCAAGCCUGAUGCAGCGACGCCGCGUGGGGGAUGACGGCCUUCGGGUGGUAAACUCCUUUCGCUAGGGACGAAGCGUAUUUGUGACGGUACCUGGAGAAGAAGCACCGGCUAACUACGUG